CUUUUGAAAUUGAGGAAGCAAUGACUUACAGAUACGUCAAAGCGGAGAGUUGAUCUAUGGCAUUGCUUAAUGUACCUGCAACAUUCAUGCUCGAUAAUCUCCUGCAAUUACCAGGAAAUUCCAUCCCAGGGUUUGCAGGGAUCGGAUCCUGUCCAGCUUUGCGGUUGAUUCCGCCAAUUCUUCAUCAGUGCUUGAAGUGCGGCAACUGCCAAUGGCUGCUCAGUGAGCAACUUGUUCUUAAAAGUAGGCAACUU